rnacentral:rRNA from 1 species
GACGAACGCUGGCGGCGUGCUUAACACAUGCAAGUCGAACGGAAAGGCCCUGCUUUUGUGGGGUGCUCGAGUGGCGAACGGGUGAGUAACACGUGAGUAACCUGCCCUUGACUUUGGGAUAACUUCAGGAAACUGGGGCUAAUACCGGAUAGGAGCUCCUGCUGCAUGGUGGGGGUUGGAAAGUUUCGGCGGUUGGGGAUGGACUCGCGGCUUAUCAGCUUGUUGGGGGGGUAGUGGCUUACCAAGGCUUUGACGGGUAGCCGGCCUGAGAGGGUGACCGGCCACAUUGGGACUGAGGUACGGCCCAGACUCCUACGGGAGGCAGCAGUGGGGAAUAUUGCACAAUGGGCGGAAGCCUGAUGCAGCAACGCCGCGUGCGGGAUGACGGCCUUCGGGUUGUAAACCGCUUUCGCCUGUGACGAAGCGUGAGUGACGGUAAUGGGUAAAGAAGCACCGGCUAACUACGUG